rnacentral:rRNA from 1 species
GGGUGAGUAACACGUAGGUAACCUGCCCCGGAGCGGGGGAUAACAUUUGGAAACAGAUGCUAAUACCGCAUAACAACAAAAGCUGCAUGGCUUUUGUUUGAAAGAUGGCUUUGGCUAUCACUCUGGGAUGGACCUGCGGUGCAUUAGCUAGUUGGUAAGGUAACGGCUUACCAAGGCGAUGAUGCAUAGCCGAGUUGAGAGACUGAUCGGCCACAAUGGAACUGAGACACGGUCCAUACUCCUACGGGAGGCAGCAGUAGGGAAUCUUCCACAAUGGGCGCAAGCCUGAUGGAGCAACACCGCGUGAGUGAAGAAGGGUUUCGGCUCGUAAAGCUCUGUUGUUGGAGAAGAACGUGCGUGAGAGUAACUGUUCACGCAGUGACGGUAUCCAACCAGAAAGUCACGGCUAACUACGUGCCAGCAGCCGCGGUAAUACGUAGGUGGCAAGCGUUAUCCGGAUUUAUUGGGCGUAAAGCGAGCGCAGGCGGUUGCUUAGGUCUGAUGUGAAAGCCUUCGGCUUAACCGAAGAAGUGCAUCGGAAACCGGGCGACUUGAGUGCAGAAGAGGACAGUGGAACUCCAUGUGUAGCGGUGGAAUGCGUAGAUAUAUGGAAGAACACCAGUGGCGAAGGCGGCUGUCUGGUCUGCAACUGACGCUGAGGCUCGAAAGCAUGGGUAGCGAACAGGAUUAGAUACCCUGGUAGUCCAUGCCGUAAACGAUG